CCGCCCGGCGGCCUAUGACACCGCGGAUCCCCCGACGUGGCCCCGCCCCCCGAGGCCGGGCGCACCUCUCUGAUUGGACGGGACACCCCCUCCGCUCUAUUGGCCGGCAGCGCCGGCGCGGGCCCCGCCCCCUCACGUUCCCACCAUGUGUGGUCCCCGCCCGGUAGCCGCUCGCCAGUGACGCAGGAUGGCGCUGCCGCCCGCCCUGCGUGGGCUGAGUCUGGAGGGACCCCGGAUCUCCUACGCGUUUCGCGUUCCCCGCCUGCUUCUGGGAAGGACAGGGGUUGCGGUGACUCCCGCUGGUGGCUGAUAGACCUGUCACCAGGCCCGUACUUGCGGUUCGUUGUACUGUUCACAUGCCAAGCUGAGCGGUGAUUGCCUUACACAAACUGCCCUAUUUUCUAUUCUCAUCUCAUCCCGGUUACGUUCAUUCCACAAGCCCGGAUGAAACAGAUGCUUGUUAGUCUUAUUCUGCCGAUGAGGCAAGCUUAGGGCGCCCCAGUUUGAAUGGCUUGCGCAAUACCGUGAAUCCAGUAAGAUUCCGCUCUGAAAUUUCCGAUUUCAAAGCUUCUACUUUUAACUCACUUUCUCGCAGAGAAUCUUGGCAUUUGCAUGCAGCAAGGCAUAAGGAUGAAGAAGAAGCCCUUCUAUGCGGCAGAAUAGACACAGUGCCGUUAUCGUCUACAACUCUGAACUGGAUUCCGUGUGGGAAUCUGAGAUGUGGAGGGCAUUAUUACCCUACCUCUUCUUUGGAAGCCCUAUGAUUCUUUGGAGAUUCUAGCACAGUAUUUGCAGAUUGAUCGAGUGCAGCAAAUACUGCAUCUGCCCUAAGAUGGCCUGAGUGGGCAGGAGUGCUAGAGCGGAGGACUGUUUCCAUUUGUCCUUGUGUUGGUCCCGUGCUCAGAACCCUUCCUCAACCUGGGAAUGAGCAAUGAAAGAAUCUAGAAUUUAGUCAGCAAUGUAAUGGUGCUAAUUGGCACCACUCUCCAACCAGAGCGUCACUGUGAUCCUCAUUUCCAGAGCUUUGUACAUGUUGUUCCCUCAUAAAAAUCACACGCCCCAGCCCACAGCCUUUGCAUCUCCUGUUUUCCCUGUGGCAGCUGUCAUUUUCCAGCUUCCCGGAUCUAGCGUGCACAGCGCCUCAUCUCAAUUGGUGCUCUGUUUGAUCACUGGCCUUAGCUCACACUAGUGGAAUUUCUUAGCUAUGGUAUGUCUGCUCCAUCACGCUAUAAGCCCAGACAUGCAGGGACCUUGGCUAAGUUACAGUCAGUGUCAUUUCCCAGGUCUAGCUCAGUACUUGGCACUGAGGGAUCACAUGAAUCAAAAGGAAGAGACUCAGACUGGCCAGUGCCUUCAAGUCUAUCCCAGUGUCUACCUGGCCCUCACCUUUUUUAAUCUCCUCUGCAAGUGUUUGCUGAGUGAACUGAUGUCCCACAUUAAAUGUGUUUUUUAUUAUAUUCAA